rnacentral:rRNA from 1 species
GACGAACGCUGGCGGCAGGCCUAACACAUGCAAGUCGAACGGUAACAGGAAGAAGCUUGCUUCUUUGCUGACGAGUGGCGGACGGGUGAGUAAUGUCUGGGAAACUGCCUGAUGGAGGGGGAUAACUACUGGAAACGGUAGCUAAUACCGCAUAACGUCGCAAGACCAAAGAGGGGGACCUUCGGGCCUCUUGCCAUCGGAUGUGCCCAGAUGGGAUUAGCUAGUAGGUGGGGUAACGGCUCACCUAGGCGACGAUCCCUAGCUGGUCUGAGAGGAUGACCAGCCACACUGGAACUGAGACACGGUCCAGACUCCUACGGGAGGCAGCAGUGGGGAAUAUUGCACAAUGGGCGCAAGCCUGAUGCAGCCAUGCCGCGUGUAUGAAGAAGGCCUUCGGGUUGUAAAGUACUUUCAGCGGGGAGGAAGGGAGUAAAGUUAAUACCUUUGCUCAUUGACGUUACCCGCAGAAGAAGCACCGGCUAACUCCGUG